CUGGCUCAGGACGAACGCUGGCGGCGUGCUUAACACAUGCAAGUCGAACGGGAGUAUUGAAGAAGCUUGCUUUAGAGAUACUUAGUGGCGGACGGGUGAGUAACGCGUGAGGAGCUGUCCUAUGCAGGGGGACAACAGCUGGAAACGGCUGCUAAUACCCCAUAAGCCGAGAGGUAAAAGGAUCAAUCCGGCAGAGGAGGUACUCGCGUCCUAUCAGCUAGUAGGUGAGGUAACGGCUCACCUAGGCGAAGACGGGUAGCCGGCCUGAGAGGGCGAACGGCCACACUGGAACUGAGAUACGGUCCAGACUCCUACGGGAGGCAGCAGUGGGGAAUAUUGGGCAAUGGGGGAAACCCUGAACCCCAGCGACGCCGCGUGGGUGAAGAAAUCCUUCGGGAUGUAAAGCCCUGUUGUAUGGGAAGAGCGGAAGACGGUACCAUACGAGGAAGCCCCGGCAAACUACGUGCCAGCAGCUGC
rnacentral:rRNA from 1 species